rnacentral:lncRNA from 1 species
GUUUUGCCUCUGAAAACAAGAUAUGGGACCAUGCCCAGUUUCCGCUCAUCCUAUACGGGAGAAUGUUGGUGAUCAGCGCCCUAUAUAUAAGGCUCCAGGCCUUGGUCUACUUCACGUCUGGGGCCACCACCCAGGAACCUUCUCUGUGUCUGUGCACGGGAUGAAUACACUGAAAGCGUUUGGUCCUUUAACGUGGUUGCAGCAAGCUUCCCGUGAUGACCUACUGCCGAGAGCUGUCUGCCUGGGACCAGGAGCUGGUGUGAGCAUCCCAUGAGGUAAGGUGAUGAAAGUGCUUUCCAAGCUCUGCGAAUGUGGUUGAGUGGUGAUUGCUUUUAAUUUUGCCAGGCCCGUGGGGAAGUCCAUGUGGCCUCAUACUGCUGUGAUCACAAUGCCUAUGGUCAGGACAUAUUCCACCUGCUCCUUCACAUCCUUCACGUCACUAACCAGGAGGGCAAGGGUAACAGAAGUCUGCAGCAUGGAGAAGCUGCGUCUCUGAGCCCUUACAAAAUGCUUAGUUUGGUUUCUGAAGUCAGUCAGACCUGAAGCUAAGUCCUUCCUCCCCACUUGCUAGCUGUAUGACCUUGGGAGUAUUACUUAACCUGUCAAAAGCUCAGCUUCCUCACCUGUAAAGUGGGGGUACCUGCUUAACAUGGAUGAACCUGGAGAGUAUUAUGUGAAGUAAGUCAGAGAAAGAAAAUACUGGGUUUUUUUGUUUGUUUCUUUGUCUGUUUUGUUUUGUUUGCCUUUUAGGCCGCACCUGUGGCAUAGAGAGGUUCCCAGGACAGGGGUCAAAUCGGAGCUGUAGCCAAUGGCCUACAGCUACAGCCACAGCAACGCCAGAUCCAAGCCACAUCUUCAACCUACAUCACAGCUCAUGGCAACACCGGGUCCCUAACCCACUGAGCGAGGACAGGGAUAGAACUUGUGUCCUCAUGGAUGCUAGUCAGAAGUCAUGGAUCCUUUUUGCUGAGCCAUAAAGGGAACUCCCCAAAUACUGUUAUGGUUUAGCAUAUAUGUGGAAUCUAAAAAAUAAAACAAAGGACAAUAACAAAACAGAAACAGACUCAUAGAGAACAAACUUGUGGUUAUCAGUGAGAAGGGCAAAGGGAAAGGGCAAUGUAGCAGGGGGAUUAAGAGAUACAAAGUACUAGUUUUAAAAAAAUAUACAGGGAUAUCAUGUACAGCACGGGGAGUAUAGCCAAAUUUUAUAAUACCUUUAAAUGGAGUAUAACCUAUACAAAUAUCAAAUGUAUACCUGAAACUACUAUAACAUUGUAAAUCAUCUUUACUUCAAUUAAAAAUAAUAAUAACAGUAUUUGUUUCAUAGGGUUGUUGUCAGAAAUAAUGUAAAUCCAGGUAAAUAGUUUAGUGCAGGGCCUCUCACACAGAAGUGGCCCAAUACAUUUUAGUUCUUAUUAAUAUUGUUUCCCCAGAAAGUGCAAUCCCAUCCACUUUGUUUCUUUUUCCAAAAAAAAUAGAAGUUCCCCUUGUGGUGCAGGGGGUUAUGAAUCCACCUGCAGUGACUUGGGUCACUGUGGAGGCCUGGGUUCAGUCCCCAGCCAGGUGCAGGAGGUUAGAAGAUCCAGUGUAGGAGUGCCCAUCGCGGCUCUGUGGUUAACAAACCCAACUAGUAUCCAUGAGGAUGCGGGUUUGAUCCCUGGCCUCCCUUAGUGGGUUACGGAUCUGGCAUUUCUGAGAGCCGUGGUGUAGGUCGAAGACACAGCUUGGAUCCCACAUUGCUGUGUCUGUGGCGUGGGCCAGCAGCUACAGCUCCAAUUUGACCCCUAGCCUGGGAGCCUCCGUAUGCCACAGGUGGGGCCCUAAAAAGACAAAAAAAAAAAAAAAAAUCCAGCAUAGGUUGCAGCUGUAACUUUGAUUCAAACUCUGGCCUGAGAAUUUUCAUAUGGCCAUAAAAAAAAAUUAAAACAAGAUAUUUUCCUUGUGUAUAAUCCCCUGAUUUUUGGCUACUGUAAGUUAAUCGCCCUAAAGAACAGA